rnacentral:rRNA from 1 species
UUAGGGGGUUUCCGCCCCUUAGUGCUGCAGCUAACGCAUUAAGCACUCCGCCUGGGGAGUACGACCGCAAGGUUGAAACUCAAAGGAAUUGACGGGGGCCCGCACAAGCGGUGGAGCAUGUGGUUUAAUUCGAAGCAACGCGAAGAACCUUACCAGGUCUUGACAUCCUUUGACCACUCUGGAGACAGAGCUUUCCCUUCGGGGACAAAGUGACAGGUGGUGCAUGGUUGUCGUCAGCUCGUGUCGUGAGAUGUUGGGUUAAGUCCCGCAACGAGCGCAACCCUUGAUUUUAGUUGCCAGCAUUUAGUUGGGCACUCUAAAGUGACUGCCGGUGCAAGCCGGAGGAAGGUGGGGAUGACGUCAAAUCAUCAUGCCCCUUAUGACCUGGGCUACACACGUGCUACAAUGGAUAGUACAAAGGGUCGCGAAGCCGCGAGGUGGAGCUAAUCCCAUAAA